rnacentral:piRNA from 1 species
UGGAUUGUAAACAUGCACUGGCACUGGUGU